GGCUGCAAACUAGAAAAUAUCGCAUACAAACAGAUUACAAAAGCUCCACCAAAAAUUUGCAAGACAUAUAAAAGAAAUACCCCUUGUUAAAGCAGAGUUUUGGCUUUCAGCUUAUUGAGUUGGACUUUCAAUACAGCCAUCCUAAAAGGGACAUCUCACUGUUUGUGAAGUUUCCAGAGUUUUUAGAAAAAGCUAAUGCUGCUUUUAUUGGCGUGAAAGUAUUUCAAGAUUUGAAGAUCCUCUUCAACAACACAACAAAAGAAGACACGAAAACAUUUAUUGCUUUGUCCCUACUUUGUGGGAAACUUGUCCCGACUGUCGGCAGAUCUGAUAAUAGAAGGAAACAUAAAGACGAAAAGCGAUCGUCAAAGGAUUCACCUGAACAAAAAAAAUAUAACAAACCGACCAUAUUAGA